GGAUCAAUGAUGAAUUAAAAAGUGGAUUUCAUUAAAAUCUGAAAAAAAAUGAGUGACAGAAACAAUUCUGUGAGCUGAGGUCU
rnacentral:snoRNA from 1 species